GCGCAGCGUCUGCACCAGGGCGUGCGGCGGCCGUCCUCGCGACGGUC
rnacentral:lncRNA from 1 species